rnacentral:rRNA from 1 species
AGUGAACGCUGGCGGUAGGCCUAACACAUGCAAGUCGAACGGCAGCACAGUAAUAGCUUGCUCUUACGGGUGGCGAGUGGCGGACGGGUGAGGAAUACAUCGGAAUCUACUUUUUCGUGGGGGAUAACGUAGGGAAACUUACGCUAAUACCGCAUACGACCUACGGGUGAAAGCAGGGGAUCUUCUGACCUUGCGCGAUUGAAUGAGCCGAUGUCGGAUUAGCUAGUUGGCGGGGUAAAGGCCCACCAAGGCGACGAUCCGUAGCUGGUCUGAGAGGAUGAUCAGCCACACUGGAACUGAGACACGGUCCAGACUCCUACGGGAGGCAGCAGUGGGGAAUAUUGGACAAUGGGCGCAAGCCUGAUCCAGCCAUACCGCGUGGGUGAAGAAGGCCUUCGGGUUGUAAAGCCCUUUUGUUGGGAAAGAAAAGCAGCAGGUUAAUACCCCGCUGUUCUGACGGUACCCAAAGAAUAAGCACCGGCUAACUUCGUG